rnacentral:misc_RNA from 1 species
CCAAUGAUCAGCGAAUUGCACAUCUUGGUUUUGACUGGGAUACUACUGAUAUAAGUAUUAUGUUGCUUGCCAAGUUGGGAAAGCCAUUAAUGGGGACUGCUCGGAUAGUCGUUAACAGUAUCCACAUCAAGGGUGAUCUCCGCUUAGUGCCAGUUUUAGAUGGAAGAGCAUUUUUAUACUCAUUUGUGGCUUCCCCGGAUGUUAGGAUAAAUGUUGCUUUUGGAAGUGGUGGAAGCCAAUCUCUUCCAGCAACUGAGCUGCCAGGGGUUUCUGCAUGGCUGGUUAAACUUGUUAAUGACUCCUUAGCUAAGAGGAUGGUUGAACCUCGCCGUAAUUGUUUUUCUUUGCCCGCGGUGAAUUUAUUCAAAACGGCUGUUGCUGGUGUACUCUCUGUCACCGUGAUGUCUGCCAGCAAAUUGUCAAGGAGUAACCUGAGGACUAGUCCUUCCAGGAAACAACACAGUUCAUCAACAGAUGGUUAUGUGGAGAAUUCUAAUGAUUACAAGGAUUUGCGGACAUUUGUUGAGG